GGCUACGUAGCUCAGUUGGUUAGAGCACAUCACUCCAUAAUGAUGGGGUCACAGGUUCGAAUCCCGUCGUAGCCACCA
rnacentral:tRNA from 1 species